UCAACAGGAUAUUGGUGAAAAUUGUAACAUCUCCUAGAUGCAGAAACAAGGGUCCAGAGAAGUUAAAGGACUUGCUCAAAGGCAUGUGAGUAGAAGAACAAAUAUUUGAAGCUGAGUCUGGCAGACUCUGGAAACCUGCACCCUCAUCAGCCUCCAAGACUGCCUUUGCACAUUAGUACAGCCUGGUUGGGGUGGAGGACUGUGUUUGCAUAUCUGUCUCCCUCACUAGAUGGGACGCUUGAUGCCCUGAGAUGACUCAGCACAAUCCUUCCAGA